rnacentral:rRNA from 1 species
ACACUCCUGCGGGAGGCAGCAGUGGGGAAUAUUGGACAAUGGGCGCAAGCCUGAUCCAGCCAUGCCGCGUGAGUGAUGAAGGCCCUAGGGUUGUAAAGCUCUUUCACCGGUGAAGAUAAUGACGGUAACCGGAGAAGAAGCCCCGGCUAACUUCGUGCCAGCAGCCGCGGUAAUACGAAGGGGGCUAGCGUUGUUCGGAUUUACUGGGCGUAAAGCGCACGUAGGCGGACUAUUAAGUCAGGGGUGAAAUCCCGGGGCUCAACCCCGGAACUGCCUUUGAUACUGGUAGUCUUGAGUUCGAGAGAGGUGAGUGGAAUUCCGGGUGUAGAGGUGAAAUUCGUAGAUAUUCGGAGGAACACCAGUGGCGAAGGCGGCUCACUGGCUCGAUACUGACGCUGAGGUGCGAAAGCGUGGGGAACAAACAGGAUUAGAUACCCGAGUAGUCCCAUGAU